rnacentral:rRNA from 1 species
UACGGAGGGUGCGAGCGUUGUCCGGAAUCACUGGGCGUAAAGGGCGCGUAGGCGGCUUGGGAAGUCUGUGGUGAAAGCUCGUGGCUCAACUGCGAGUCGGCCAUAGAUACUCCUAAGCUCGAGUCGACUAGAGGCAGAUGGAAUUCCGGGUGUAGCGGUGAAAUGCGUAGAGAUGGGGGAGAACACUCGUGGCGAAGGCGGCCAGCUAGACCAGUUCUGACACUGAGGCGCGACAGCGCGGGGAGCAAACAGG